UGGCUGCAGCACGCAUGCGGACGGAGGGGAGGCGGGAGAAUGCUGCGGUUCCGCGUUAGUGAGCGCGCGCGCGCGCCUUUGAGGCCCAUGUAGGAGUGUAGCGAAGAGAGGGGCGGCUCCGGAGAAAGCAGAUGCAGAAAAUAACAGUCCGAAAGAGAACAUCUUACUGAAGUCCCUUCGCCAGGAAGCAGCAGGGCAAGCCCGUCUCUCCCUAGAGCAAGCCCACAUUUUUUCCUCUGGCAGCGGGCAGCCUGCCUAGCGAUGAGAAACAUGGUGGGAGGAAAACAUUCUGCAAGAGGAAGGAGUUGAAAAUCGUGAAAGAUCAGAAUUGCUGGGGAGACUUGAAGGACAGUGGAACUUGACACCCAUUCUACAGAUGAAGGAAGGAUCUGAAAAGCCAGUGCUCGUCAUUCCCCGCCUCUUUUCAAGAAUCUUUUGCCAGAGGUACUAAACCAGAGGUUCCUGAACUUGAGCAGGGAUCAGAAUCCCCUGUUAAAACAGGUUGCUUGGCCCGAGCCGCUAGAGUGUUAACUUGGUGGUUCUGGGAAGGGCCUGAGAAUUUGGAUUUGCAGCAAGUUCCCUGCUGGCCCGGGAACCACACUUUAAGAAACACCAACUAAGCUUACCCUCACUUUCUUUAUCUGUAAGGGAGAGAAACCGAGGCCCUGAAAGGCUACAGGCCCAGCAUUCAGUCUGUCCAGCAGGCAGCCUGGAAUCCUUUAUCCAUUCCCCGCAGGGAAUUUCCUUCCAGAGCAGCCCCCAAUCACCCCCAUCCCAGGAUCAUGGGGAGUGUCCACAGAACAUCUCUGUGCUAAUUCGGAAAAGGU